AUUGAACGCUGGCGGCAGGCCUAACACAUGCAAGUCGAGCGGAACGGCGGACGGGUGAGUAAUGCCUAGGAAUCUGCCUGGUAGUUGGGGAUAACUUCCGGAAACAGGCGCUAAUACCGCAUGCUAUCAGAUGAGCCUAGGUCGGAGUAGCUAGUUGGUGGGGUAAAGGCCUACCAAGGCGACGAUCCGUAACUGGUCUGAGAGGAUGAUCAGUCACACUGGAACUGAGACACGGCCCAGACUCCUACGGGAGGCAGCAGUGGGGAAUAUUGGACAAUGGGCGAAAGCCUGAUGCAGCCAUGCCGCGUGUGUGAAGAAGGUCUUCGGAUUGUAAAGCACUUUAAGUUGGGAGGCGUUACCAACAGAAUAAGCACCGGCUAACUUCGUGCCAGCAGCCGCGGUAAUAC
rnacentral:rRNA from 1 species